UGGGGAAUAUUGGACAAUGGGCGAAAGCCUGAUCCAGCCAUGCCGCGUGUGUGAAGAAGGUCUUCGGAUUGUAAAGCACUUUAAGUUGGGAGGAAGGGCAUUAACCUAAUACGUUAGUGUUUUGACGUUACCGACAGAAUAAGCACCGGCUAACUCUGUGCCAGCAGCCGCGGUAAUACAGAGGGUGCAAGCGUUAAUCGGAAUUACUGGGCGUAAAGCGCGCGUAGGUGGUUUGUUAAGUUGGAUGUGAAAUCCCCGGGCUCAACCUGGGAACUGCAUUCAAAACUGACUGACUAGAGUAUGGUAGAGGGUGGUGGAAUUUCCUAUGUAGCGGUGAAAUGCGUAGAUAUAGGAAGGAACACCAGUGGCGAAGGCGACCACCUGGACUAAUACUGACACUGAGGUGCGAAAGCGUGGGGAGCAAACA
rnacentral:rRNA from 1 species